UGUGACCAAAAGUUUAACGGCCGCGGUAUUUUAACCGUGCAAAGGUAGCGCAAUCAAUUCGUCUUUUAAAUGGAGACCUGUAUGAAUGGCAUUACGAGGGUUUAACUGUCUCUUUGUUCUGGUCAAUGAAACUGAUCUGCCCGUGCAGAAGCGGGCAUAACCCCACAAGACGAGAAGACCCUAUGGAGCUUUAGAUGCCCACCAACCACUCAAAGCAGCCCAGUUAAUUGAGCACUCAAACAACGUGGUUCUGGCACAAACAUCUUCGGUUGGGGCGACCACGGGGGAGAAGAAAGCCCCCGAGAGGACUGGGGGAAACCCUAGAACCAAGAGCCACAGCUCUAAGCAACAAAACAUUUGACCGACAAUGAUCCGGCUCACUGCCGAUCAACGAA
rnacentral:rRNA from 1 species